AUUGAACGCUGGCGGCAUGCUUUACACAUGCAAGUCGAACGGUAACAGGCCGCCAGGUGCUGACGAGUGGCGCACGGGUGAGUAAUGCAUCGGAACGUGCCCAGUCGUGGGGGAUAACUACUCGAAAGAGUAGCUAAUACCGCAUACGAUCUAUGGAUGAAAGCGGGGGACCGUAAGGCCUCGCGCGAUUUGAGCGGCCGAUGUCAGAUUAGGUAGUUGGUGGGGUAAAGGCUCACCAAGCCAACGAUCUGUAGCUGGUCUGAGAGGACGACCAGCCACACUGGGACUGAGACACGGCCCAGACUCCUACGGGAGGCAGCAGUGGGGAAUUUUGGACAAUGGGCGAAAGCCUGAUCCAGCAAUGCCGCGUGCAGGAAGAAGGCCUUCGGGUUGUAAACUGCUUUUGUACGGAACGAAACGGCGCUGGUUAAUACCCGGGGCUAAUGACGGUACCGAAAGAAUAAGCACCGGCUAACUACGUG
rnacentral:rRNA from 1 species